AAAGUCGUAACAAGGUUUCCGCAGGUCAACCUGCAGAAGGAUCAUUCGCGAAUCUGUUGCCCUCCGAGGCUCACAUUCUCUAUCCUUCACACACCUGUGCACCCUUCUGAAGCGGAGAGGUAUUAAGCCUUUGGCCAAGCACCUCCCUUCGGCAUAUCAACUUCGAACCAUGUUUACUAGAAUGUGUACUGUCUUGUUGUAACGACAAGCACAAACCAACAAAACUUUCAGCAACGGAUCUCUUGGCUCAG
rnacentral:misc_RNA from 1 species